UGCCGGCGAUGUGGUUCAUUUCAAAUUUCUGCAUAACAUCAACUGUCGAUGGUAGGAUAGUGGCCUACCAUGGUGAAUCGGACGCCGGGGAAUAAGGGUUCGAUUCUCAGAGAGGGAGCCUGAGAAACGGCUACACAUCCAAAGGAAGGCAGCACAGGCGCGACAAAUUACCCACAUCCUAAUUCAGGGAGGUAGUGACAAUAAAUAACGAUACAGGGCCCUAUUGUAGUCGUAAUUGGAAUGAGUAACUAUGUAAAUACCUUAAUCUAACGAGGAACAAUUGGAGGGCAGUCUGGUGCCAGCAGCCGCGUGUAAUUCCAGCUCCAAUAGCGUAUAUUAAAGUUGUUGCAGUCAAAAGCUCGUAGUUGAAACUUUUGGGCUUGGUAGCGAGUCUAUUCCAGUUUUGGCGUGUUUACUGUUUCCUACCGAGCCUUUCUCGUCUGAGACAACUAUUAUCCCUCGGGGGUAGCGAACCAGGACUUUACUUUGAAAAAAUUAGAGUGGUCUGGACGGCAGGCAUUUGCUCGAAUAUAUUAGCCAAUGGAAUAAUAGAAUAGGACGUUUGGUUCUAUUUUGUUGGUUUUCUACUAUAUCCCAUCGUAAUGAUUAAUAGGGACGGUCGGGGGCAUCAGUAUUCAGUUGUCAGCGAGGGUGAAAUUCUUGGAUUUACUGAAGACUAACUACUUGCGAAAGCAUUUGCCAAGGACGUUUUCAUUAAUUAAGAACGAAGUUAGGGAUCGAAGAUGAUCAGAUAAGCCGUCGUAGUCUUAACCAUAAACUAUGCCGACUAGGGAUCGGGUGUUGUUUUUAUAAUGACUCACUCGGCACCUUACGAGAAAGUCAAAGUCUUUGGGUACUUCUGGGGGGAGUAUGGUCGCAAGGCUGAAACUUAAAGGAAAUUGACGGAAGGGCACCACCAGGAGUGGAGAGCCUGCGGCUUAAUUUGACUCAACACGGGGAAACUGGUCAGGUCCAGACACAUAAGUCAAGGAUUGACAGAUUGAGAGCUCUUUCUUGAUUUGUGGGUGGGCGUGCAUGAGCCGUUCUGUAGUUGGUGGAGUGAUUUGUCUGCUUAAUUGCGAUAACGAACGAGACCUGAAUAGUGUGCACCUACUAAAUAGUGCGACUAGCUUUGCUGGUAUUGACAUUUCUUAGAGGGACUAUCCGAUUUCAAGUCGAUGGAAGUUUUGAGGCAAUAACAGGUCUGUGAUGCCCUUAGACGUUUGGUGAGUGCACGCGCGUCCAGAUACUGACGCCACUCAGCGAGAGUCUAACCUUACGGCCGAGGUCAUGGGUAAUCCUGUGAAACUCCCGUCGUGCUGGGGAUAGAGCAUUGCAAUUAUUGCUCUUCGAACGAGGAAUUCCUAAUGCACUUUCAAGUCAUCAGGAGCUUGCGUUGAUUACGUCCCUGCCCUUUGUAGACACCGCCCGUCGCUACUACCGAUUGAAUGGGCUUAGUGAGGCUUCAGGAUUGGCUUAGAUCAGGAGGCAACUCCAGAUUGGAGCCGAGAAUUUAGUCAAACUUGGUCAUUUAGAGGAAGUAAAAGUCGUAACAUACACGCUUCCGUAGGUGAACCUGCGGAAG
rnacentral:rRNA from 1 species